UGGAGGGAAAAAAUUGCAGCGGGGGUUUGACUUUGGAAUAUUCAAAAUGGCCGCCGUUACCAUGGAAACAGCAAAAAUACAAAAAACUUCAAAAUGCUUCAAAUUUAUUGAAACUUAUAACAAAUGUUGCUAAGCUAAUGUAUACUUGACUUUUGAGUUUGGAAUUUCCAAAAUGGCCGCCGUUACCAUGGCUACCGCUCACCUGGCAAUAGGGGAAGGGUGCCAUCCGCUAUUGCUUGCAAUCGCAAAUCUAGUUUUUAUUAAUCUUCUUCCACACUUUUUGUCCACGCUAGUUCUCAGAACCAAAUGGGUCAAUGUUGAUGGAACUCUACUAUAAUAAGGACCCCCAUGUGAAGUUGUGCAUCUUGCUAUGGAAUGGUCCAAGAUGGCCGCCGUUUCCAUGGAAACGGUAAAAAUGUAAAAAAAAAUCAAAAUUCCAAAUCUUUCAUUGUAAGACCCAACUGGAUGAAACUUUAUGGAAAUGUUCCUUGGUAUGCCCUGAUAUACCGACAAUAUUUAGAAAUUCCAAAAUGGCCGCCAUUGUCAUGGAAACAAGGCGAAA
rnacentral:lncRNA from 1 species